rnacentral:piRNA from 1 species
UAUCUAAUAAAAAGGAGACAAAGGUGACAA